rnacentral:rRNA from 1 species
CUUCUUUGCUGGCGACCGGCGCACGGGUGAGUAACACGUAUCCAACCUGCCCUUUACUCGGGGAUAGCCUUUCGAAAGAAAGAUUAAUACCCGAUGGGAUAAUUAUUCCGCAUGGUUUGAUUAUUAAAGGAUUCCGGUAAAGGAUGGGGAUGCGUUCCAUUAGGUUGUUGGUGAGGUAACGGCUCACCAAGCCUUCGAUGGAUAGGGGUUCUGAGAGGAAGGUCCCCCACAUUGGAACUGAGACACGGUCCAA